AGCUUUUGGCCUCCACCGCCCCCAACGGGCCGUGGUUGAUCGCCGACGCUUUCGGAUCCUGACCCCUUCCUCCUGUGGACGGAAGAUGCAAACUCGUGACACUUCAAGCGGCUUCUGAUUUGGGUGCAAGAUCAGAUGUCGAUGCCAUUGCGAACGAGCUUGAUUGUGGCCAUCAGAUGUAGCAGGCUAUGGCUACGGUUGGUGACUUGAUUCGUGGUUGGAGGAAGGGCGAUCCCUUCUACCUCUGAGGUUGUGGAGGCCCUCAUAGUGUUGAGGCCGAGCGACCGCUCUCGGUUCCGCCAUGUGGCCAUGAGAUGCAGUUGCGGGAGAUGGGUUACGAUGCCAGGUUGUGCAAGGUGAGGCGGGAGCGCACUUAGAAUUUGUGGUCGGUAGCUACGAGUACAUCAACAUGAUGAUGUCAAAGGGGAUUGAGGAGCGGUGAUACAUCAUGGACUUGGUCUUCGCGUCGAAGUUCGUGGUGGCACAAGCGGAGAAGAGUUAUGUGGAGGUAGUGGUCACGCUGUCAUAGGUGAUGAUCGCAGCGCUGGAGAAGGUGCGGCAAGUGUUGCAGAUGUCGAGGGAGGCAGCACGACGGUCACUGAAAUCCCGAACUUUAGUUUUGUCGUAAACGUUAGCUCAGUAAUGACAUGAUUCUCAUGUUCUACCACACUCAUGCCAAAACUAUUGCUUUGUCACACUGGAAAAAUAAGCUUCUUUUAAAAGCACGACGAUUUAA